rfam:Hordeum vulgare subsp. vulgare, WGS project CAJW01000000 data, contig: morex_contig_52801
UUGCAUUGGUGCAAAAAGGAAAAGCUGUUCCUUGAAGCAGCAGCGGCAAGACAACCGUAGAGAUAGAUCCACAGAUGAAUGUUUGAACUGCUGCUUGUCUACUAAUUCUAUCUCACAUUU